AGCUGGUCCCAUAGGAGUGGGUUAUCAGAACUUAUUAAUGUGUCACUAAAGUUGGUAUACAACCCCCCACUGCUACAUUUGACUGGCUUAAA
rnacentral:Y_RNA from 1 species